rnacentral:rRNA from 1 species
UACGGAGGGUGCAAGCGUUAUCCGGAUUCACUGGGUUUAAAGGGUGCGUAGGCGGGCAGGUAAGUCCGUGGUGAAAUCUCUGAGCUUAACUCCGAAACUGCAUUCGAUACUGCCGUGCUUGAGGACUGGAGAGGAGACUGGAAUUUACGGUGUAGCGGUGAAAUGCGUAGAUAUCGUAAGGAAGACCAGUGGCGAAGGCGGGUCUCUGGACAGUUCCUGACGCUGAGGCACGAAGGUCAGGGGAGCAAACGGG